GACGAACCACCCAAACGUUAUUCGGAAUCACUGGGCUUAAAGAGUGCGUAGGCGGUCAUGUAAGUAGGGUGUGAAAUCCCACAGCUCAACUGUGGAACUGCGCUCUAAACUACAUGACUAGAGGGAUAUAGAGGUGAGCAGAACUGAUGGUGGAGCGGUGAAAUGCGUUGAUAUCAUCAGGAAUACCGGAGGCGAAGGCGGCUCACUGGGUAUCUUCUGACGCUGAGGUACGAAAGCUAGGGGAGCGAACAGG
rnacentral:rRNA from 1 species